GAGACAGCAGUCGCCACGGUAAUACGAAGGGUGCAAGCGUUAAUCGGAAUUACUGGGCGUAAAGCGUGCGUAGGCGGUUUGUUAAGUCUGCUGUGAAAUCCCCGGGCUCAACCUGGGAAUGGCAGUGGAUACUGGCAAGCUAGAGUGUGUCAGAGGAUGGUGGAAUUCCCGGUGUAGCGGUGAAAUGCGUAGAGAUCGGGAGGAACAUCAGUGGCGAAGGCGGCCAUCUGGGACAACACUGACGCUGAGGCACGAAAGCGUGGGGAGCAAACAGGAUUAGAUACCCCCGUAGUCCCUGUCUCUUAUAC
rnacentral:rRNA from 1 species